AAUUUAAUAACUUUACUACCACUUGUAUUAAUAGGUCAACCAGGCACAAAAUUUGGCAUAUCAUUUCCUGUUUUAGCUAGAUCAUCAUUUGGCAUUAGAGGUGCACAUAUUCCUACACUACUUAGAGCUUUAGUUGGUUGUGGUUGGUAUGGUAUUGAAACAUGGAUUGGUGGUGAAGCAAUUUUCUUGUUGUUACCAAAAGUUGUUAAGGAUUCACAUUUGUCACAAUCAAUA
rnacentral:misc_RNA from 1 species